UUGGUUUCGUAACUAGUGAUAUCAGUAGUUUCCAGGGGUAUUACAUCAAACAUCUUCAACCCUAAAAUCAUUAGAUGUAAUUUUGAGAUGAAAGUUUUAAACAUAUAACUCUUCAGAUGUGUUGUGCAGAUUAUUUCAGCAAUUUCUGGAGGAGUUACUGAUUUUUUCUUUCAUAUCAUUGGUUAAACAUUGCUAUUUUUAGUUGCUUUUUGACAGCAUCAUAUUCUGUAAUGACAUUUUUUUCUUGUUGUGUUUCUCUUAUGUUCAAAUAUAUGUGGGCUCAAAAGCAAAUAAAUGUGUUCGUCUCAGCGCCCUCAUUAUAUUGACUAUUGGACAAUCCAAGUAUUUUUUUCUUGUAGUUUCUCUAUCUAUUCUUAGUUUUGUAGAUUUAAUUACUUCCGAGCUGAAGAACAUUUGCCUUUUUAUCAAUUUUCUAUUGUAAUGCCAGUGUAAUCUUUGUUGCACUUAUAAUUCUUUUAUGUUGUUUCUAAUUCAGGCUGGAGUUGAAGUGAGGAAGAGCUAUAAUUCUGUUAUUUGGUGGUAGUGACUGAAUUUUCUAUAAGUUUGCAAUGGCACUUGGAAAUACUCAUCUUUUUUGGACUUAUUCAUCGUAGAGAGACAACAUUGUUUAUAAUGGGAAUAGUUGGCAAGGAGUUUGAAGAUAGUAUCUUGUGAUUCUUUUGUUUUCAUGUGUAGAUACCUUGACAUGUAUUUAUGAAGUGUUUUUUUUGUAUUAUGACCUUUAAGUAAUGGAAAGUUCUUAUAUUACUCUUCUUGAGAAA